rnacentral:rRNA from 1 species
CCUACGGGAGGCAGCAGUGAGGAAUAUUGGUCAAUGGGCGGGAGCCUGAACCAGCCAAGUAGCGUGAAGGACGACGGCCCUACGGGUUGUAAACUUCUUUUAUAAGGGAAUAAAGUUCGCCACGUGUGGUGUUUUGUAUGUACCUUAUGAAUAAGCAUCGGCUAAUUCCGUGCCAGCAGCCGCGGUAAUACGGAAGAUGCGAGCGUUAUCCGGAUUUAUUGGGUUUAAAGGGAGCGUAGGCGGGCUUUUAAGUCAGCGGUCAAAUGUCGUGGCUCAACCAUGUCAAGCCGUUGAAACUGUAAGCCUUGAGUCUGCACAGGGCACAUGGAAUUCGUGGUGUAGCGGUGAAAUGCUUAGAUAUCACGAAGAACUCCGAUCGCGAAGGCAUUGUGCCGGGGCAUAACUGACGCUGAGGCUCGAAAGUGCGGGUAUCAAACAGGAUUAGAUACCCUGGUAGUCCGCACGGUAAACGAUGAAUGCUCGCUAUGGGCGAUAUAUUGUCCGUGGCCAAGCGAAAGCGUUAAGCAUUCCACCUGGGGAGUACGCCGGCAACGGUGAAACUCAAAGGAAUUGACGGGGGCCCGCACAAGCGGAGGAACAUGUGGUUUAAUUCGAUGAUACGCGAGGAACCUUACCCGGGUUUAAAUGGGAAAUGCCGUAUUUGGAAACAGAUAUUCUCUUCGGAGCGUUUUUCAAGGUGCUGCAUGGUUGUCGUCAGCUCGUGCCGUGAGGUGUCGGCUUAAGUGCCAUAACGAGCGCAACCCUUCUCCCCAGUUGCCAUCGGGUAAUGCCGGGCCCUCUGGGGACACUGCCAUCGUAAGAUGCGAGGAAGGUGGGGAUGACGUCAAAUCAGCACGGCCCUUACG